rnacentral:lncRNA from 1 species
CUUUUCGAGGUAGGAGUCGACUCCUGUGAGGUAUGGUGCUGGGUGCAGAUGCAGUGUGGCUCUGGAUAGCACCUUAUGGACAGUUGUGUCCCCAAGGAAGGAUGAGAAUAGCUACUGAAGUCCUAAAGAGCAAGCCUAACUCAAGCCAUUGGCACACAGGCAUUAGACAGAAAGCUGGAAGUUGAAAUGGUGGAGUCCAACUUGCCUGGACCAGCUUAAUGGUUCUGCUCCUGGUAACGUUUUUAUCCAUGGAUGACUUGCUUGGGUAAGGACAUGAAGACAGUUCCUGUCAUACCUUUUAAAGGUAUGGAGAGUCGGCUUGACUACACUGUGUGGAGCAAGUUUUAAAGAAGCAAAGGUAUAGCAGUUCCAAGUAUUUUUUUUUUUUUUUUAGACAAGAGUCUAGCUCUUGCCCAGAAUGGAGUGCAGCGGCACUAUCAGUUCACUGCAACCUCUGCCUCCCAGGUUCAAGGAAUUCUCCUGCCUCAGCCUCUUGAGUAGCUGGGAUUACAGGCAUGUGACACCAUGCCUGGCUAAUUUUGUACAGCUAUGUUGUCCAGGCUGGUCUCGAACUCUUGACCUCAAGUGAUACUGCCCGCACUGACCUCCCAAAGUGCUGGGAUUACAGGCGUGAGCCACCAUGCCCCGCCUCAAGUCUGGUUUUUAAGUGUUGUAAAGCCGAUACAAUGAUGAUAACAUAGUUCAGCAGACUAACGCUGAUGAGCAAUAUUAAGUCUUUCGCUCCUAUCUGAUGUAUCUGGCGGUAACAUUCUAGUUUAUGCCCCGAAAAGGGGAAUAUAGCCAUUCUAUAAUGUUUGGAGAUUUUGGAUUACUCCUAAUUGUAUGCAAGUUGUCUUACUGUGUAUUGUCCCUUAAUUUCAGGACUCAGAAUUCAUGAUUGAAGAAAUGCAGGUUAGUUUAAACUUUGAAGGAAAUUUUUAAGGUGGCAAAAGGUUUUGGUGGCAUAUACACCUUAAUCUGUAGAUGGGAGUGAUUAGCUGUUUAAAAGUUAAAAUGUGACUGAGAAGGAAAUUGAGUAGGGCAAAUUUUAAAUGGGUAUUAUUUUUCAUCUUCAAACAGGCAGACCUGUUAUCCUAAACUAGGUGAGUCAGCUUUUGGUACAUGUGAUGAUUUUCAGUGUAACCAAUGAUGUAAUGAUUCUGCCAAAUGAAAUAUAAUGAUAUCACUGUAAAACCGUUCCAUUUUGAUUCUGAGGUUACUCUACUAACAAGCAUCACACAUUUGUAUUUUGCCCUGAUUAAUAUGUUGGCUUCGCUUUCAGGGUUUUUAAUGACCACAACAAGCAAGCAUGCAGCUUACUGCUUGAAAGGUGAGGAUUGGAAAUGUUGGGACUAUUAUAAUUGCAGAAUACAUGAUGAUCUCAAUCCAACUUGAACUCUCUCACUGAUUACUUGAUGACAAUAAAAUAUCUGAUAUUCUGCA